rnacentral:rRNA from 1 species
UACGGAGGGUGCGAGCGUUGUUCGGAAUCACUGGGCGUAAAGCGCGUGUAGGCGGCCUGCUAAGUCUGAUGUGAAAGCCCGGGGCUCACCCCCGGAAGUGCAUUGGAAACUAGCGGGCUGGAGUCCCGGAGAGGAGGGUGGAAUUCCUGGUGUAGCGGUGAAAUGCGUAGAUAUCAGGAGGAACACCGGUGGCGAAGGCGGCUAUCUGGACUGUGAUUGACGCUGAGGCGCGAAAGCGUGGGGAGCAAACAGG